ACCCAUAACCCCCUCUUCAUCUGGUCUUGUUCCACCUAUUAUCUCCUCCAUUCUCACACAUCUUCUAACUGUAAUAUCUUCCAGGUUUACGAGGCUUGGCAGCAAGACAAGAGGGAACAACUUCUUCAUGCUCUUACAACCAGAACAAUUAAACCGUUUAAGACCAGAAAAUAUACCGUUGUAAGAUGGAGAUGGUAGUGGAGCAGAGCGGAACCAAGAAGAUGAAACCAAGCUCUCCAUGCUAUUGCAAUAACUAAUGUUGAUAGCCUCCAGAUCAGUUGCAUACUUUAUUUGAGAGGAAACAUCGCAUAAACUUGUUGCAUCAUCAUUAUUAUAAAUAGUCAGUUGUUGAAUGUCCUUUGGAAACAUGACCUGAAAACCUCCAUCUCUGUCGAUACUCAAGUUACCCCAAACAAUUGUUUUCCUUCUGCAACCAUCAUAACCAUAAUUAUAAUCAUAACCAUAAUUAUAAUCAUAACCAUAACGAUACUUAUCCCGUGGUCCUACAAGAAUUUGGUAUGUGGUUAGUGAUUUGGUUUCAUCCCGAGAUUUGAGAUACUCCACGUAGUCUGAGUAACCUUCAAAAUGGCAUUCCAAACUUUCCAACUUCCUCAACCAUGCCACUUCCUUUCCUUUAACUGUUACCGGAACAUAAUGGCUCACUAUAUCUUCGGUAAAAGGAAUCCACUCCUGCAAUACAAAGACUUGCAGGUGAGAGAGCUUAGGUAACAACCCACUAGGAAACUCCUUUUCACCACAUCCAUUCAUUCUAAGAUACCUCAGGUUGCCUAGACAUUCCAUGCCUUGAGGAAUCUUUUCAAGUGCCCAAGUACCAGAGAGAUCUAACCUCUUCAGUGCCCUGAGCUUUUCUAAUGACGGUACAUGCCUUAACAUCUUACAAUCAAUGAGCAGUAAUGCAGUGAGACUCACCAAUUCAGAGACAGAAUCAGGUAGUUUUGUGAUACCUGUAUAAGACAGAUCAAGAACCUUGAGCCCAUGCAACUGCUCAAAAAAUGAAUCUGCUAUAAAUUGCAACUCUGAAUUGCCGCAUAACAGUAGAAUUGAUAGGCUGGGACAACAUGGUGAAUGGCUGGAAGGAAUUUCUUUAAUCUGGUUAUGCAUCAGUGAAACUCUUGUAAGAUUCUCAGUCCACUCCUCUGCACUCGGCACUUCUCUUAACCGUGCACCUGCUUUAACCAUGCCUUGAGAGUUCUCUUGCAGUAUUUGGAUGGCCAUAUCCCUAACCAAGUCAUGCAUCUUGACAUAUCUAUAAUCGUCAGCCAAUUUCUCAGCACUUUCCAAUAGGCAGACUCUUUCGAGUUUAUUCAGCAUCGAGUGGCCUUUGUCAAAUUCUGCCUCCCUACUUUCCAGCCCUUUUAUCACUCCCUCGUCAAUCAAAUAAGCUAUCAAAUCCUCUCUACGGAUCUUGAAGUUUUCCGGGAAUAAUGCACAGUACAAGAAGCAUUGUUGCAGUUCUGACUCCUUUAAGUGCAUAAAACUAAAUCUCAGUAUGUGGAAUACCUCAGGCUCCAUAUCAUCUUUCCUAAUUCUUGAUUGUUUCAGGUCCUCCAAAGCAUUCCUCCACUCACAUCUGUCAUCCACUCCCCUCAUGGUUCCGGCCAUUGUUAUAAUUCCAAGAGGCAAACCAGCACAUUCACUUGCAAUAGAUCUUGCAAUUUCUUCCACUUCUGGAGGAAUACAUCCAAGUACCUUCAUGAACAGAGCCCAAGCUUCUUCCAUUGAAAGAGGCUCCACUUUGAUUGUCUUCUGGCAGAACAUCCGCUGACAAACUCCAAAUGAUCGAGUUGUAAGAAUUAGUUUGCAUCCCUUCACUCUGAUAGGAAUUCCCACCUUAUUAUAAUCAAAACAGUCCCACAAAUCAUCUAAGAUGAGAACCCACCGUUGUUUCUCAAUUAAUGCUUUUGAAAGUUUUGCAGCCCUUUUCCUCUCGUUGUCUUCAUUUGAAAGAUCUAAAUGAAAGUCUUCUGCAAUAAGAUUCUGCAAUUUAUAAACACUAAAAUCCUGCGAUACCGUGAUCCAGUGAACAUGAGGAAAAGUGCCAGGUUCUUGUAGAAGCUGAUUGUAGAUAUGUGUGAGCAAUGUUGUUUUGCCCGCACCCCCCAUCCCGUAAAUGCCAAUACUUGAUGAGGCCUCAUCAUUCAUUACCCACGACCAGAUAGCAUUCUUAUUAUUUUCAAACUCUCCACCUGUUAGUUCUUCAGUUAGAAACACAUCUCGUCCGCUGUCAUCGCCAUUACGUUGGAGAACUUCACGAGAGCUGUCUCUCACAACAGGCUGCCCAGGGUCUCCAACCAUGUUCACUAGUGGAGGACAGAGUUGAUCUUCUUGAGGCUCAUCGUGAUUAACAAGUGGCCUCUCAUGAGAACUACCUCUUACAACAGGCUGCCCAGUUACUCUCUCCAGAUGUUGCCCUUGUGGUGCCACAUUGUCGACUUCAACAUGUAAGCUAGUAGGUAAUGGAUCUCCUGGAGUCUCAUUUGUGUUGCCUGUAAGCCCUCCAGAAGAGCUAGCUCCUGCACCCGGCUGCACUAGUCCUCCAGUCCCAUUCUCUAUAUCAUCCUCCAUUACAUUAUUGAUCUCUUCCAAAAAUCUUUCAAGU